GACGAACGCUGGCGGCGUGCCUAAUACAUGCAAGUCGAACGCACAGUUUAUACCGUAGCUUGCUACACCAUAGACUGUGAGUUGCGAACGGGUGAGUAACGCGUAGGUAGCCUGCCUGGUAGCGGGUGAUAACUAUUGGAAACGAUAGCUAAUACCGCAUAAUAUUCAUUAUUGCAUGAUAAUUAAUUGAAAGGUGCAAUUGCACCACUACCAGAUGGACCUGCGUUGUAUUAGCUAGUAGGUGAGGUAACGGCUCACCUAGGCGACGAUACAUAGCCGACCUGAGAGGGUGAUCGGCCACACUGGGACUGAGACACGGCCCAGACUCCUACGGGAGGCAGCAGGAGGGAAUCUUCGGCAAUGGACGAAAGUCUGACCGAGCAACGCCGCGGGAGUGAAGAAGGUUUUCGGAUCGUAAAGCUCUGUUGUAAGAGAAGAACGGGUGUGAGAGUGGAAAGUUCACACUGUGACGGUAUCUUACCAGAAAGGGACGGCUAACUACGUG
rnacentral:rRNA from 1 species